GAAUCAAUAGAGGGCGUUUUUUAUUGGCGAAAUUGUGCGCUGGUUGUUUGACGUGCCAGUGACUCAGUGAGAGAAAAUGUACCGUUUUUAUCAGCAAAGUGAAGGAGUUGUAUAGAGAGUUGAAGAAGAUAUUAACCUUUGGGCCGAGAGUUGGUGUUGCCAUGCAGCAACUUCCAGACUUCACACCAGUCCAGGUGGGCAUGCCAUCCAGCCAACGUCUACUGGCGCGCCAUAUAUAACCAGCCCACCAACCAGCCUUUCAUAUCAUGAGCCAAUCAGUGUUACCAACCAAUCACCUAGUCAUCUUGUGAACCAGUCAUGCCAGACAAGCAGGAAGUAGUCAGGAAAGUUUGUGCCAAUAACGCAGUGGAUAAACACAGGCAGGUUGCAUACCAUAACCUCCGUGUUCUUUUGGAAAUGAAGAGGUGACAUGUGACAGAGGCAUCUUUGCAAGUUUGGUUAGCUGUCAGAGGUCACAUGAUAAGUGUGUGCCGCUGGCAGGUCAGACCAAGUCAUCCAUGUCUGGUUGUUACAAGACUGAACCCAAGAUGUCCCCAGCAGCCUUGGAUUCCUUAGAUGUUAGUUGGUUGACCAUGUGACGCAAGAUGUCUCAAGACAGCUCCAUAUGUCAGUUUGUCCCUCUCGCAGCUUCAAGACUCAAGACUAGAGGAAGGGCGCAAAGCUUGAUGACUUUCUUCUGUUGUUGGCUAAAAAAAAGAGGGGAAAAUUGUAUCUUAGGAAUUUCAAGUUCAGCAUCAGUAUUCUGAAACACUUGGUGUAUUUAUUUGCAAGUUGAAUUUGGGGAAAGGCGAUCUCUCUCUACAAGUACAACAUUAUGAUUUUCUUUGCAAUCAGAGAUACAGACAUUGUUCGGGUAACAUUUAAAAAGUUGUUGUAGUUUUGUAAUAAAAUUUCGAAAGGCUGGCAUUUGGCCACACAUUUUGCAAUAAAACAGGGAAAGUGGAUUUGUUUGAUAUCACA